rnacentral:rRNA from 1 species
GAUGAACGCUGGCGGCAUGCCUAAUACAUGCAAGUCGAACGAGAGGAAGGAAAGCUUGCUUUUCUGAAUCUAGUGGCGAACGGGUGAGUAACACGUAGGUAACCUGCCCAUGUGCCCGGGAUAACUUCUGGAAACGGAUGCUAAAACCGGAUAGGUAGCAGACAAGCAUUUGACUGCUAUGAAAGUGGCUAAGGCCAUGAACAUGGAUGGACCUGCGGUGCAUUAGCUAGUUGGUAAGGUAACGGCCCACCAAGGCGACGAUGCAUAGCCGGCCUGAGAGGGCGGGCGGCCACAUUGGGACGGAGACACGGCCCAACCUCCUACAGGAGGCAGCAGUAGGGAAUUUUCGCCAAUGGGGGGAACCCUGAACGAGCAAUGCCGCGUGAGUGAGGAAGGUCUUCGGAUCGUAAAGCUCUGUUGUAAGAGAAAAACGACAUUCAUAGGGAAUGAUGAGUGAGUGAUGGUAUCUUACCAGAAAGUCACGGCUAACUACGUGCCAGCCGCCGCGGUAA